CCGAUUGUAACAACCGGAUGUUUACACUUGUACAUGAUUGGAAAAAUAUUCUCCGACAAGUUUUAUAGAUCAAUCACGAAUUUGUGAGAGUCAACAUGUAUUAUGUAUAAGGCGGGUGGUGUCACGUCAAUGAGUAGGCUAUAAUCUGUAUUCGACAAGUACUUGAUUGCUGUCUUCUUGUCAACAAUUUUAUGUCAAGCUUAGAAAAGACAAACAAACAAUUCUGUCCAAGCUGAUUCUGUCUACACCUAUAUGAGACACGAACAUACCAUCAGAAGUCAGUGUAAACCGAUCUACAUCAACCAGGACGCUGUAACAAUUCGACUCUAGGAGCAUACAUAAAAGCCUACAGUACUUGAUACCACACAAACUGUCAAAAUACUGAUUGAAAGUGACGUUAAUUGGGUUCAAAUCAGAACGAGCCAGUAGGAGACGGAUUAAAACCGCAUUAAAUUGAGUGAUUUUGGAUUAAGAAAAG